UAGGAAAGAAAAUUUUUCAAGCUAAUGUGCUUGGAAAAAAAGCUCAUUUUUGUGAGAUUAUAUUUCUUGCUGAUAUUACUGUUUUGAAUUUUUUGAAACAAGUGCCAAGGACAACAUUAAUGUCAAGCAGACAUUCGAGCGACUUGUGGAUAUCAUCUGUGACAAAAUGUCCGAAAGUCUGGAGACAGAUCCCAACAUUACUGCCGGCAAGCAGAACACACGACUAAAGGAAACCCCUCCACCACAGCAACCCAACUGUGGCUGUUAAUGCAGCUACCAGCAAAGGCAGCUCCAGCAUGUUCUGUUGCCAACAGAGUAUUUAUGAAUGGUCUAUAUGCCUUUAUUUAUACUGUCUUAGUAAUUUAUUUGGGAGAAAAAUCUUUUAUUCUACAUUAGCAUCUAGUUGAGUAUAUGUACGAAGAUGGGGAUAUUAGUAGUUUGAAAGAAUAAUCUGUUUUUUAGCUUCUGGCUCUUGCAUGCAGGAUGGCUAUUAGUUUUUCUUUUCUUUUUACUGUUUCACAUUAUACUUACUUCAGCUGGUGCCACGUGACUUGCAUUAUUGGUUUCAAGUUUUAUAGUUGAAUCCUUAGGGUAGCAGCCAAGGUAUUUUAUAUUUUCUCCUGACCAAAAAUUAAUUUAGAAAUAUUACUUUGAAGACCCAAUCACUCAUUCUGUCUAGAUCAUUUGCAUAAGGAAAACUUCCUUGAGCAUACUGCCUGACUAAGUCUGAGCUCAGUAUGUUACACAUCGUGUGCUUGGAAACUGUAGAAGUUAGAAGGAGCAGACCUCCAGCCUUCCUGGACCUCAAGCUACCUGCUCUUCCUUUGAGAUUCCAACUGGAUAUGGGUGUUCAGUGCAGAUCCUCAGAGAUAUUAGAUACUUCAUCCUGGCUAGCUGGCUACUAUACUUACAUUUCUGUGGGCACUGUGUGUUUGUUAAACUCCUUUCUGAAACUUCACUCAUUUUCUCAUUCCAGCAUGCAGAUACCCUGGUAGUUUCUGCCCUAGCAGAGAGGUCUGACCAGCUCUUUUUCUUUCUACUGGCAUUAGAUAUUGAACACUCUGUUCAGGUAUUACCCCUGAAAAAGCCAAAUCAUACAGUCAGUUGUUCAUAGCCAAAAACUGUCUUGUCACGUUGCUGUCAAACCUGCAUGCUUACGCUUUCAGGAACUGUAUCUCCCAUUCAGUCACUGGGACAGCCAUCACCAUACUGGCUACUAAUUUCACUCAGAUCUGAUGUAGAUGUUGAUGUGCUUUAGUUUGACCUCAUUUUUUCUUUGAUGAGGAAAUCUUUUUUGACAAGACUAUCACAGAUUGGCAAGAUUUUGAAAAUAACUUUAGGAAUAAUAAAAAAUGGUUGUCAUUUCCUAACUUAAAAUGAAUGUAUCUAUAAAAUCAGGAAAUGCUGUGAAGUACACAGACACACACAAAAAGGCAGAAUAAAGUACACAAGUUCUAUUUCAAUCAACUUAAUAAAAAUAGUCAUAUUCCACAGUUUUAAAAUGGUAAUUGGUGGCACAUCUAUGUCCAGCACAUAGUGCUUCGUGCAACAUCUUUAUUUCUGUCACAGUGACAUUUUUAAGAUAAACUGCAUUAUUGUGGAAUUAAUUGUUUUAUUGUUUUUAGCAGACAGGCUUUAAGACAAGGCUGAUGUUUCCCUAACUGUCUGCAAUACAAAAAA